rnacentral:rRNA from 1 species
GUGGGGAAUAUUGGACAAUGGGCGAAAGCCUGAUCCAGCCAUGCCGCGUGUGUGAAGAAGGUCUUCGGAUUGUAAAGCACUUUAAGUUGGGAGGAAGGGCAGUAAGCUAAUACCUUGCUGUUUUGACGUUACCGACAGAAUAAGCACCGGCUAACUUCGUGCCAGCAGCCGCGGUAAUACGAAGGGUGCAAGCGUUAAUCGGAAUUACUGGGCGUAAAGCGCGCGUAGGUGGUUCAGCAAGUUGGAGGUGAAAUCCCCGGGCUCAACCUGGGAACUGCCUCCAAAACUACUGAGCUAGAGUACGGUAGAGGGUAGUGGAAUUUCCUGUGUAGCGGUGAAAUGCGUAGAUAUAGGAAGGAACACCAGUGGCGAAGGCGACUACCUGGACUGAUACUGACACUGAGGUGCGAAAGCGUGGGGAGCAAACAGGAUUAGAAACCCCGGUAGUCC